UACGAAGGGGGCUAGCGUCGUUCGGAAUUACUGGGCGUAAAGCGCACGUAGGCGGACUAUUAAGUCAGGGGUGAAAUCCCGGGGCUCAACCCCGGAACUGCCUUUGAUACUGGUAGUCUCGAGUCCGGAAGAGGUGAGUGGAAUUCCGAGUGUAGAGGUGAAAUUCGUAGAUAUUCGGAGGAACACCAGUGGCGAAGGCGGCUCACUGGUCCGGUACUGACGCUGAGGUGCGAAAGCGUGGGGAGCAAACAGG
rnacentral:rRNA from 1 species